GGCGGCAUGCUUUACACAUGCAAGUCGAACGGCAGCGCGGGGCAACCUGGCGGCGAGUGGCGAACGGGCGAGUAAUACAUCGGAACGUACCCAGAAGUGGGGGAUAACGUAGCGAAAGUUACGCUAAUACCGCAUACGUUCUACGGAAGAAAGUGGGGGAUCUUCGGACCUCAUGCUUUUGGAGCGGCCGAUGUCUGAUUAGCUAGUUGNNNNGGUAAAGGCUCACCAAGGCGACGAUCAGUAGCUGGUCUGAGAGGACGACCAGCCACACUGGGACUGAGACACGGCCCAGACUCCUACGGGAGGCAGCAGUGGGGAAUUUUGGACAAUGGGCGCAAGCCUGAUCCAGCAAUGCCGCGUGAGUGAAGAAGGCCUUNNGGUUGUAAAGCUCUUUUGUCAGGGAAGAAACGGCUGGGGCUAAUAUCCCCGGCUAAUGACGGUACCUGAAGAAUAAGCACCGGCUAACUACGUGCCAGCAGCCGCGGUAAUACGUAGGGUGCAAGCGUUAAUCGGAAUUACUGGGCGUAAAGCGUGCGCAGGCGGUUUUGUAAGUCUGACGUGAAAUCCCCGGGCUCAACCUGGGAAUUGCGUUGGAGACUGCAAGGCUGGAGUCUGGCAGAGGGGGGUAGAAUUCCACGUGUAGCAGUGAAAUGCGUAGAGAUGUGGAGGAACACCGAUGGCGAACGCAGCCCCCUGGG
rnacentral:rRNA from 1 species